rnacentral:tRNA from 1 species
GGAGAGAUGGCCGAGUGGUUUAAGGCAGCGGUCUUGAAAACCGCCGAAGGGGCAAACCUUCCGUGGGUUCGAAUCCCACUCUCUCCGCCA